rnacentral:lncRNA from 1 species
GCAACCAUUUUCCUAUGCAACAACAAUUUCACAUUUGCAACAGACCCAUUUGUCCAACAAGAACAUGACAGGAUUGAUAGACCACUCCCAGGUCAAAACUUCAACAUCAGCUUUGAACACUAUUCUGGUUAUAUAACAGUGAAUGAGGAUGCUGGUAGGAACUUGUUUUACUGGUUCAUUCAAGCUGAUCAUGUAGAUCCUACUUCAAAGCCACUUCUUUUGUGGCUCAAUGGUGGUCCUGGUUGUUCUUCUAUUGCUUAUGGUGAAGCUGAGGAAAUUGGUCCUUUUCAUAUUAAUUCAGAUGGCAAAAACCUUCAUUUUAAUCCUUAUUAUUGGAAUCAAGGUGAGUUAAGAGUUAUUCUGUGUUUACCAAUUCAAAAAAUAUAUUUAUGUUAUGUGGAAUUGUAUUCCUGUGUUGGGUGUGUCUACUUCAAUUGGUUUCUCACUAGUGGACGGUGGGGUUGGUAUCCUAGAUUAGACGGCCAUUAGGUCGGAUAUCGAGUUUCCAAUAAAAAAUGCCAUGUUAAACUGUUUUAUUUGUGUUUUUUUUUUUUUUUUUGUAGUUGCCAAUUUUCUUUAUAUCGAAUCUCCUGUUGGAGUUGGAUUUUCAUAUUCAAAGAAUUCAUCUGACAUUCUCAACAAUGGCGAUAAGAGGACAGGUAAGGUAUCGCUUACUUGGAUCUAGAUUCUUUGCAUUUUCUUAUACAUGCUUUUUCACGCAUUAAUUAAUCAUGGUCGAACCAACAUUAUGCUGGGAGAGUUGUGACUCUCACAGAAAAGAACCCUAAUUCGAUUCCUGGAUUCAUUUAUUUGGGAGUUAGCCCAGCCCUGGUAAAAAAAUGAAAUCAGAUGUCCCGCUGCCGAUGAAUAGUCUCAUAGCAGGCCCAAAGGGCCUAAGCCGUAGGAUACAUUGGGGAGCCUACUGGGGUCAAAGAUCCUAAUUACGGGGUGUUAGCAAAAAAAAGUCUUGGUCAUUGAUUUGAGAUUAGUCGUAUAACAUUACCAGGGGUGGCCUUGGCGGGAUGGGUGACUGCCCAGGGCAAGAGCACAAAAAAUCUUAGGACCGACCCUGAACAUUACACCUGUAUCAGAUUAUCUUUAAAUAGUCUAUACCAAGAUUAAUUAAGGUGUCACGCAUUUGGAGUCUCAAUUAUGAAGUGAAACUUAUAAGCCGAAGGAUUCUUACUUUUAAUAGAGUAGUAUUUUGUGACGAGUUCUCCCAUUUGGUGAAUGCUCGUUAUAUUGGUGUGUUUGUUGGGAUGUUGACUUCUUUGAAAUAAUUGUCCACAGAGAGUUCUGAUCGAUGAGGAAGUUGAGUGGAUUGUCCAUGAGUGAAGUGUCAUGACGUUGUCUCUCGAUUAGUGAGAGUUCGUAAAAUUGAUUUAAGUUAAAAUUCAGCUGGAUGUAAAUAUGGUUGGACACAUUCACGUAAAAAUCAAGUUUUCAGGCUAAUGCUUUAAAUCACAGUUUCAAGUUAGAAUCUAUUCUAGAGACACAGUCAAUUCUACUUGACAAUACUCAAACAUGUCUAAAUCAAUUUAAUAUUUUCAGAAUCACUUUUGCAUCCAUCGAAAAUGAAACCAAACACACGUGUCUAGGGGUUCUUACUAACGGACUUGUUUUUCAACGAGCUCUACUUUUUGGAGUCCAUAGCACUUCGUGUAUGACGAUUGAAUCAAAUUAAAUUAAUUUAAUAAUUCUUUAUGUGCAGCUGAGGAUAAUCUCAUAUUUCUUUUAAAGUGGUUUGAGCGUUUUCCCCAGUACAAAAAAACAGACUUUUUCAUCAGUGGUGAGAGCUAUGCAGGUAAACGCAAAUGGUGAGAUAGAUGAGGACAUAUAUUAUGUCUAGUGUUUGAGUUCUCUAACUUUGGUCUUGCUUGUUUCAGGACAUUAUAUUCCUCAACUUAGCCAAGUUAUUGUCAAGUACAACUCGGCUACAAAACAAGAUUCUAUAAAUUUCAAAGGUUUCCUGGUAUGAAUUCCAUUUUUACACAAAAAAAUAGUAAUAAUCCCAUGCAAUAUUGCAAGAACGUGGAGAAAAAAUUGCCGAAAACAACGUGUCAUUAGGGGAAUAAUAUGUAUCUCUGUCUGCUGCAGGUAGGAAAUGCUGUAACAGAUGAUUUCCAUGAUCAAUUGGGGAUUUUCGAGUUUUUGUGGACAAAUGGUAUGAUUUCGGAUCAAACAUUCAAGCUCUUGAACUUGCUAUGUGAUUUUCAGUCAUUCGAACACCCGUCAAAGUCAUGUGAAAGGAUCUUGGAAAUUGCUGAUAAGGAAAUGGGUAAUAUAGACCCAUUCAGUAUCUUUACCCCUCCUUGCCAUGAGAAUGAUAAUCAGCCGGAUAGAAGAAAGCAUGUAAGUUGAUCUUUCUAGCUUCUACUAUUGUUUUAUCUUGUCUUUAAAGGUCCUAAUAUUGUUGCCUGUUGAAGAUUUCCUUGUUUGUGAUGGUGCAGUACAUGUUUACAAAAACAUACUGUAUUAAGUUAAGAUUAUGAAAAAGAUCUUAAUGGGUAAAAAAAAAAAUGUUCUUAAAAUGUGAUGUGCUCAGUUUGAUUCUGUCUAGAUAAAUGGAGCGUUCCUUCUAAAUUAAUUGAAGAUGCAGAAUGAUAGAGUACAUGGGUUACAUCCUAUUUUUGUUAGUAAGCAACUAGGCAGAAUAUUAAGCAAAAUAUAUAGGAUAUAUGUCACAUGACUGAAAUGGGUUCUGCCAAAGGCAUCUCAAUUCCUCUGCCUGAAAAUCUGAAUCUGUACAAUUAUGGUUCUUUAUUUGGAUGUUAAUCAUCCAUAUGAGUCUUGGCUAGGAAACCUUGGAUAUAUUUAGUUUGGGACAGAAGGAGUUUGGAAAUUACAAUUUGAAUCCUGGAAGCAGAACCGGCAGUAAAUAUUAUAUCACUAUCAUCAUCGACUUAGAUCAAUGUGUAAAGGCAGCAUGCAACAGUUUUAAGAUUCAACAAGGAGAGAUCACAUUUACUUUCUGAGAAGCCAAAACCGACGAGUUUUUUUGAGCACUUCAUAUCAUGUUCUAGGCUUCCUACCCUUGCUAUAUGCGGUUACACAUUUCUGUUUUUAGAGUUCGGAAUUCGGCUGUAGGUGCAGCUUUAGCACAGCUUGUGCUAUAAACUAUGUUUGUAUAAAUAUUUUGGUUCAAUAAAUUUAUUUGGCUUGUAAGAAAAGCAUUAAAUUGAUGGAUUCGCUAUUUAUUUGGCUUAUAAGAUAAUGUGCACUGUAACAACCUUACAGGCUAAACAACUAAUGAGAAGUUUUCUGAAUAUUCGAUAAAACCCCAUCAUACUCUUUCUGUGUAGCGGUCCUCCGGAGGAAGGGCCUAGGCAUGCUUAAAAGUGGAGCCCUAUUAUUUUUUAUUCUUCAAUUGUAAAGAUAAGUGUACGAUGCAGUUUAGGAAUGGGAAUAUGUUGGGGUAAGAAAGGAUUCUAACACAAUUCCUGGCUUGGACCUUGUUUGCAUUCGAUGGACAGCUCUGCUAACUAAAUUAGAAAGGAGGAACCUGGAUUAGUAUUACUUGAAGCAGUAUAGUAAUAUUCAUGAGACGGAGAAGAGGAUGUUUGAGUAUCAUUUUGCAUAAGGUGCAGGUGAAGGAGAAUCAACCUGUGCGGUAAGAUGGGAGGAAUUUGAAGGGAAUGAGAAAAAGGGAAAGAUAGAGGAAUCAAUUCCUCAGUUUUUUUGAGAGAGCAUUUUUUAAGGGAAUGGGAUGAAUAUACUUAAGAGUAAUUUUUUGUUUGUUUUAAGUGUAUUAUCAAGAGAAGUAGUGAAUUUGAAAUUUAUUCGAUAUCCUCCAAAACCCUUCCCCAAUGCAUCUUUUUAGUUCCCCAUAUUGGAGGGUUUUAGUCCAAUGAAGAAAAAUAAAAUCUCAUGCAAGGUUGGGAACAUAGUCACAUAAUUCGUAAUUCGCGUUGGUACGCGGUACGCAAUAUGUGAAGAAUCCGGCACGUAUGGGGGUAUAGAGUUUCAGUAUGCGUCGGUUCGUAAUUCCAGUGUCCAAAAGAAAUAAGGCCAACACUAAGAUAAAAUGACACACAUCAUCCAAAAGUUGACAGGCAGUUAGUAGCAUAAGUGCACAACUCGGUUGUUUAAACCUUAAGCUUAAGUCCCACAUCGGAUGAUUUGAAAGAACAAGAGAAGAGAGCUGUUUAUAAAACCAACCAAAUGGAGCGCAUACUGUAUGGAUUAAUGUAUACGGUGCAUAUCACCGUUUAUUAUUAUUUUUUGUUUAUUUUAUAGUUCAAACCUUUUUUUUUCCCAACCAAUUAGUGCUAUUCUUUCCCUGGUACGCCAUUUGUUGCGAAUUCCACACGAAUUGGUUCGCGGUUCUCCGCCAAAUGAACGAAUUAUGUUACUAUGGUUGGGAACUACUCACCCUUCGUUAGUUCAUUUUCUCUUUAUUCCGUCCUUUAUCCUCAAAACUCUCCCUUUCCAUCCAAACUCCCAAGCAUAGCCCAAGAUGGACCUGAUAGUUUGAAUAACACCAAGUGGGAGAACUCUGCAGGUUGCAACUAAUGCAGGUGGAGAUUCACUGGAAAAGGAGAAUUUAGUUUCAUGAAACAGGACAUCUUUAGUAAUGAACAUUUAACUUGGGGGUUGCACAGCUGCUGCCAGCUUCUGACCGCUGAAUCUGUGACUAAUACUUCUGCCUGUUAAUUUGAAAAUAAAUUACAAAAAUAACUGCACAUAAUUAACUUUGUAAAUUAUUGCCUACGUACUGUCCAUAACAACCUCAGUUAUCACAAAGCAUCCAAAAUGAUAGAAAUUCUACACUUUAGCUUAUAAAUUCCAACUACAGAUACCGAGGCAUAUUCUCAACAUUGAAUUAUAUGAUUUUUUAUUUUAUUUUUAUAACAUAAAUCCUUAUUCAUAUCACCAAGGUAUAUGAUUUGUAACAGAGUUUUGGAAGACUCAGAGGUGUGUAUGAUCCUUGUACAGAGAAUCACAGUAAUAUAUACUUCAAUCGACCAGAGGUCCAAAGGGCUCUACAUGUUAAUCCAGAUCAUAAGCCUGAUAAAUGGCAGACCUGCAGGUAAGGCUCAAAAACAGAAACUUUAGAAAGUCUUUACAUUUUUUUUUUUUUUAAAACUCGUAUCUGAUCCAAUAGAAAGUCUUUACAUAUUAUAACAGCAUGUGUUACAAAUCAUAUAACCACCUAAUUUCAAAUAUACGACGAACUGAAAUGUAGAAACGGUAUGAAAAUAGUACUGAAAACAGAAAUACUGUCGGAGAAGCAAAACACUAUUCUGCACUAUUAACUAACAAUUGAAGAAUUCUUGCAACUAUGACAUUUAAUAAUUGGUACUAACUUCAAGAAUUUUAGGCACAACAUAAAGUGCAUCCCUGUAUUUCUUUCCACGUUUAUAACAAAUUCAUAAGAUCAUAAUCCAGUUAUUAUCAUUUAUUACAGUGAUGUGGUAGGUACUAACUGGAAGGAUUCACCUAGGUCAGUGCUCAAUAUAUAUCGUGAACUUAUUCCUACCGGGCUGCGAAUAUGGAUAUUCAGGUUACUCAUUCAUCCACUGUCACUCGCAUAUCAUUUUUUUCCUAAAGUAAUUUUAGGCGCCAAAGGGACUUACAUUUUUGUGUUUCCUCAAUUCAUCUAUGUCAUGGCAGUGGUAAUACUGAUGCUAUAAUCCCAGUAACAUCUACUCGCUAUUCCAUAAAUGCUCUUAAGCUUCCAACUGUGAGCCCAUGGCGUGCAUGGUAUGACGAUGGGGAGGUAAGUCAUAAUAGACAGAUAGAUUCCAUUAUUUUCUUCGUUUAGAUUAUAUUUUCGCAUUGGGUAGCUAUCGUUCACUUAACAGUGACUUCAUUGCAUUGACAUAUAAUUGAACAAACAGGUAGGAGGAUGGACCCAAGAAUACGCCGGACUCACAUUUGUUAACGUAAGGGGUGCAGGGCACGAAGUUCCUCUGCAUAGACCAAAACUUGCUCUAACAUUGAUCAAAGCCUUCUUAGAAGGAACCUCCAUGCCAACUCUUGAACCACGCACACUCACCGCCACAAUUUGAUAUGAUACAUUCAAGUUUAUGGUUGUUACCUUCCCGUUUGUAUUUGUCUUUAUUAGAAAACAAGUGGUGAAUGCAAUACGUUGUUCCUCAACCAAGGACUGGUUUAAAUAAAGAGGAUACAAAUACAGUUAAUUCUCUUCCUUGAAUAAAGAGAGUUGUACUCGAGUUUAUUUAACGAUUGAGCCAAGUUGUUUGAUUAGUCUCACAGUUCUACUUACAAAUAUCUUUGAUUGGCAAGGACAAAGAAAACCUCAAAAAUGGUAUUGAUUGAUUUAAAUAAUUAUCAGUAAACAAAUUGUAUUAAUCGAUUGAUAAAACUAAUUGACUUGUAGUAAUGAUUUCAUGCUUUUAGUAGUAAACAGUUGUAUGAUACACUCUGCUAACACAAAAUAUACAGGAUAUAUGCAUUCUUCGAGGAGUUUGGGCAUCCAGAAUAUUCAGGCAAUGAAAAGAAAGCAUAAUUUAGAGAAAAAUGGUUUCAAUGUACUUCAUUCAUGCUGAAAACUACUAGUACAAUGAACAAAUCAACAAGUUAUAUAGGGUAAAGGCACACAAGAAUAGCUGAAUAACAAACUACAGAAGGGUAGUAAUUAACAGUAAAAGGAAUCCUAAUUAUUAUUUGAUUAUUAGGAAAGCCAACAAUGCCAAGAGACUUUUUGGUGUAUCGGAACAAUAUACAAAUAUAUCUCAAAGGGACUCACAUUUUAAUAUGAUGACCUAUUUUUCUUUUUUUGAUAUAAUUUUACACGUGACUAUAUUUUUAUUCAUAUAUUAAAUAUAGGAUAAGUCUUUUGAAUUUAUUGAAAUUCCAACAAACUUAGCAUAUGUUUGGUUUCAAUUUUGGAUGUUUUUUUUUAAUGAGAAAUGAUAGUAUGUUAUUUGUUAUGUUAUUAUUUUCUCCUUUGUCAGGAUUCAAACUUUGGACCUUUAAAUCCCCAACUCUUUUAAUCCCUUAGUAAUUUUACAUAAAUACAUCCCAAAUAUAAAUAACUUAAAUUCAACUCACCUUUAUCCAUAAUCUAUUUUUCAAAAUCAUUUGUCAUCAUCGCAGAACCAAACACGCAUUUAACCAAAAUUGCCUAAAUAGAAAUGUGUGCCAAUAAAAUGAAAUUUUCAGUUUACAGAAACAAAAACUUGGAGGGUUUAACUGUAUAAGGAACAUUCCUACUUACAUCAUGUGUCAAAACACAUAACUAUAGAAGUUAGAGACGUAACCUGCAAUUCAUGUAUUAUCUUUGACACCAACGUGAACAACACACCUACUCAAUUAACUUGGAUGCAAAGAUACAAAAACUGACAGUGCAAAAAUACAAAACUGACAUUCAAUAAUUACCUUAUCUUCAUAUACUAUAGUUAAUUAAUAUUCUUAUAAAUACUACAGAAUUGAGUGGUACUGUACCUAUCUACCAUCUGAAAUGGCCAAUUCUAAGUGGUCUCAAAUUUUGUUCAUUGUCAUCAUAACAUUGGCAAACCUUUUCCAAUGUAACAUUGCAACAGAUCCAUUUGUCCAACAAGGACAGGACAAUAUUGGUAGAGCACUUCCAGGUCAAAACUUCAACAUCAGCUUUGAACAUUACUCUGGUUAUAUAACAGUGAAUGAGGAUGUUGGUAGGAACUUGUUUUACUGGUUCAUUCAAGCUGAUCAUGUAGAUCCUACUUCUAAGCCACUUCUUUUGUGGUUCAAUGGUGGUCCUGGUUGUUCUUCUAUUGCUU